GCAACAAUAUCACACACAGCUCCCCACAUAUGAGAGCUUGUUGUUCUUCUUGUUGCCAGGUCUGCGUGUUGGCUGUGGCUCAACUGGCCUUGACCAUUUUAGGACCCAGGCUGCAGAGGCAACACCUGGAGAAUGUUCUUCCCAUCAUGGGAGGCAGCAGCUCAAGAAAGAGAUGCUUCAGUGACCUGGCUAUGGAGAGAUGCCGCCUUGGCAGGGGAGGCUUGAAUUGGUCUUACUCUACUGUUUCAGGGCUUCUGUGCCUUGCACAUAAAAACAGGAAUAGAGUGAGCAAGACAUGAGAGCUGAAGGGCUCUUGAGGGGCCCCUGAGAAGGACGCAGAACCAGGAGACAGGAGUGUCAGCUGGGGGAAUUCUUGGAGCAGACGGAGGAGGGGGGAAGGGAAGCUGGACCAACAUGGACUGACCGCAGUGAAAGAGAAUUUCCCAGAAUCCUCUGGUGCUUGAUGGAAUCCCCGCUGCCAUUUCCCCAGUAAAGCCUCAGAAAAAAAAAAUUAACUACAUGUUCCAUGUCUGUAGCUGUCACAUUACUAUUUUCUUUUGGAACGUGAUGGGGAAAAAAACGCAAGACUGGCCUCAGAGAGACCAUGGUGUGCACGCGAUGAUGGGCUGCCCAGGCGGGUAAAGUGAUACUCGGGUUACAGACACAAAGCAUCUCUUCUUGGCACCCAGGAGAAGGCAAUGGCACCCCACUCCAGUACUCUUGCCUGGAAAAUCCCAUGGACGGAGGAGCCUGGUAGGCUGUAGACCAUGGGGUGGCUAAGAGUCGGACACGACUGAGCGACUUCACUUUCACUUUUCACUUUUGUGCACUGGAGAAGGAAACGGCAAUCCACUUCCGUGUUCUUGCCUGGAGAAUCCCAGGGACGGGGGAGCCUGGUGGGCUGCCAUCUAUGGGGUCGCACAGAGUCGG
rnacentral:lncRNA from 1 species